CGUUCCAUGGCCAAACUGGUAAAGGCAUCGCCGAUUUGAGGCGAAGAUGCGGGUUUGAGUCCUGCUGGAACGG
rfam:Operophtera brumata OBRT01_Sc00713, whole genome shotgun sequence.